AAACUGCUCUGAGAAUCCACGAUCUCAUGGGAUCUCAGAAGCUCAGCGGGGUUGGGCCUGGGGAGAACUUAGAUGGGAGACUGUUGGAAAUACCAUGUA
rnacentral:rRNA from 1 species